CCCCCAUGAGGAAACCCCCACGUGUCUGACCCCCCCGGCUGGGCCCAGGACCUGCAAAGGUGGAACCCCCUGGAGCCCCCGGGGGGAGAGGAGGACAGAGAGUCCCAGCAGGGACGGUCUGAGGGGG
rnacentral:snoRNA from 1 species